rnacentral:lncRNA from 1 species
CUUUACCGUCACAGCAAUAGCAGACAGUAAUGGCAGGAGAGCUCACCGCCGUCAAGGGGCCGUUCUAAGCCCUUCCCCCGCUUCAUGCUGUUUCCGGCUCCCCAGCACCCUGUGAGGUAAGUGCCGUGUUCACCCCGAGUCCUGGGCAGAAUAGCGCUGGCCCCCAAGAAGAGUUUGGGGAAGGACAGUCGUGGCCGGCAUCCCGUAGGAAGCACUUGCACUUGCACGGGAGGCGUCCCCCGAAGGCUGGUUCAGCCACGCUAGUUCACUCUGCACCUGUGGAAAGUCCUUGUGGAAAGGGCUUGGCUGCUCCUCCGCUCCUAGCAUGUCAUGUCGAGCAAUAAAGUGUGGCUGACUAAGUUUGUAGGGACGGCACUCUGAGCCAUGGGAAACCCUGGAGACCUCGCCUUAGGACAAGGGGAGAAGACGCAGAGUGAUGGACCCAGAGAAGGGAGAGUAGCACAAGGUAAUUGCCAAAGCCGUACACCUCUUGCUCCAAGCAGUUCUGGUCCAAGGGAUGCCUGGGGAGGUGGUUAAGUAUGCAGAGCCCUGGAAGCCAUCCCAGAGGGGCCGAUGGGCGGUGGCUGGGGUGGGUCGAGGAAUGUGCACUUUUGACCAGUUUCUAGGUGCUAUUGAAGCUGGGAUCUGCGGACCUCACAUUGAGAUACAAAGACCUAGAGGAGACAGGGAAAUCGUUUCGUGAGAAUUCCUCCUGAGAUCCUUCCCUGCACUCCUACCCUAAGGCCUUCCACGGAAACGUCCUGAAAGCCCAAGCCCAAGAACCUGAGCAUCCUUGUCACUCUCCACAAAGGCUUUUGCGAGCUCUUGUUUAAAAGCUGCAACAAACUUUAGAGAGUUCGGCUUCAGGAGCAGAGAAA